rnacentral:rRNA from 1 species
GUUAAGUUGCAGGGUAUAGACCCGAAACCCGGUGAUCUAGCCAUGGGCAGGUUGAAGGUUGGGUAACACUAACUGGAGGACCGAACCGACUAAUGUUGAAAAAUUAGCGGAUGACCUGUGGCUGGGGGUGAAAGGCCAAUCAAACCGGGAGAUAGCUGGUUCUCCCCGAAAGCUAUUUAGGUAGCGCCUCGUGAAUUCAUCUCCGGGGGUAGAGCACUGUUUCGGCUAGGGGGCCAUCCCGGCUUACCAACCCGAUGCAAACUGCGAAUACCGGAGAAUGUUAUCACGGGAGACACACGGCGGGUGCUAACGUCCGUCGUGAAGAGGGAAACAACCCAGACCGCCAGCUAAGGUCCCAAAGUCAUGGUUAAGUGGGAAACGAUGUGGGAAGGCCCAGACAGCCAGGAUGUUGGCUUAGAAGCAGCCAUCAUUUAAAGAAAGCGUAAUAGCUCACUGGUCGAGUCGGCCUGCGCGGAAGAUGUAACGGGGCUAAACCAU